ensembl:lincRNA 2010110K18Rik RIKEN cDNA 2010110K18 gene
AUCUUCAAGAACUGCUUUUGGAUCAAGUAUUCGCUUCUCCUUGCUUCUUUCUCGCGUUAUUCCUCUUGAGUUUUGUUACCUUUCGGCUGGAAAUGGACCACUUGCCGCUGGUGUGGCAGUGGUUGGAGCAUGACCAUGUUGAUGAUGAGCUGUCACUGGCCCAUUCCAAGAGGUUUUCUGGAUAGAAAUUCCUUUUCAGGGAGAUUAGAGGGACGGAACCUUUUGACGUAUUCUUUAUGACAGGAGGGUUUCAUGCCUAUAAUCCCAGCACUUGGAAGACGGAGAUAAAAGGGUCGCCGUGAGUUUGAGGACAGCCUGCACUACAGAAAACUACUUCCCCAGAACGGAGGUGUGUGAAAUGUCUUUGUCCCCCUAGGAAGUGUGGGAGUCACCACUGAGCCUUGUCAGGCCAGGUGGGAAGCUGAGACCGAUGAAGUGGUCCUGCAGCGGUGGCAGAAGCAGAUAGAUUAUGGCAAGUGCAUACCUGGGUACCAGAGCUUUCUGCAGCAGGUCCCCAGGUGAGUGCAGUUGUAGGCAGCCACAAGGAUGCCAACCAAAUGGCUGUAGCUCAUUGUCAGGUGCUGGAAGAUAACUGGAAAGUGGAUGCAGAUGGACUGGUUCUCCUGCCGUCUAGUCCCCAAUACGUUUGAGAUUUCUCUCAAGUAGAAGCGUACUUUCCCAGAAGGCUUUCAAGGCUUGCCAUGUUCCGCCCCCNCCCCCCCCCCCGCCCGCCCCUUCUUUUUAAUCAUUUAAUGUGUGUGUUGGGUGAGGGCAGAUGUGCUUGUGGAAGUCAGAGGGAUCUUUACUUCCAGGACAGGCUCUUCUGGGGAUCAAACUUGCUCAUCUGGCCCUCCUAUCCUACCUAGUGGUUUUUAACCUCCUAAACCAUCUUGCUGUCCCCCACAUUCCUUUUCUUAUUAAUUUUCUUUGUUACUGUACAAAGGAAUGGUUUCAUUGGGAUGACUUCAUUAUAUGAAAGUAUUUCACUAUUAUUUGUUCAUUUAACUUUUUAAAGCUUUUAUUGUGCGUUUAUGUUUUCCCUGCAUGUAUGUCUAUACACCACAUGAAUGCUGUGGAGGCCAGAAGAGGAUAUCAGAUUCCCUGGGACUGGAACUGCAGAAAGUUGUGAGCUAUCAUGUGGGUGCUGGGAAUCAAAUCCAGGUCCUCUGAGCUGUCUCAGCCCCCCUCUUCUAUUUUCCAUAUGUUCCAAUAUUCUCUUAUUCUCUCCUCUCUGCUCCCUUCAGACCUCUUACCUCAUGUCUCUCUCUCUCUCUCUCUCUCUCUCUCUCUCUCUCUCUCCCCCCUCUCUCUCUCUCUCUCACACACAAACAAACAAAAUGUAUCAAAAGUUGGAUAUCAUCUUUACUCAAGGGCCAGUGUAAGUUUCUGUAUCAUUACAAUUCCCCUCAAAGUGAGCAUUACAAGUGAACAUUAUUCCCCACCCUUUCCCUCCCUCUCCCUCCGUGUCUCUCAGACAGUCUCAUGUAGCCUCAGCUGGCCUCAAUCUCUCUAUGUAGUUAAGAAUGACAUUGAACUUGCCUCCACCUCUGAGGGCUAACAUUUCAGGAUGUGCCACCAGGCCUGGCUUCACUGAAUUCGCUGGAUUGGAGCAUCAUCCUGUCCUUGGGUAAUCCUGUCUAGGCUUCUGAUUUACUGUGAUAAGCAAUGAGCAGUGUCCCUUUCCUUUGACUUCAAUCUGACCCAUAUUUGUCAUUGUCAGGGCACAGCGACAGCCGGGUUUUCACCCUCAAACACCAAACAAAAACAGGAGAUACAGUCGCAGAUCCUGAGAUGCCCAAAUCAGGCAAUGGAGAAGAGCCCUGCAUACCUGGGACCCCCCAAGCCAGCCUCUCCAUGACAGACAGGCUGAGGGGUGUGUUCACUAAUCUGGCUCCUAUGAGUGGUGUGGUUUAAGUCCUACUUUGUCCACUGCAAAGAUUUGGGUUGUAUAAUUGUGGGGGGGGGCGGUAUCUGCAUGAGUGUAUGUUCUCUCAUUCUGCUGCCCCUCUAGGAAAGCAACAAAGAACUUCCUAAGGACAUUGGGUUCUACUCCUUUAGAUGAUCUCCUGGUAGCUGGCCCCAGGGCUCAGAAUCCUCAGAGAAUUGGGACAGAGGUGAGAAAGAGGCCCAGGUAGUAUCCUCUGCUGAAACCACUGGCUCAGGAAAAUAGAUGGGGUUUGACCUGUGAGAGCAUAAAUAAGGUAUAGUCCAAAGGAGACGGGGCUAGAGCUAUACGGCCUCCAUGGGUCUGAUCUCUCUUCACCAGAGAUGAAGGAAUUGGGCAUGGUGGUGCAAAAUCCUGUGGGCUCUGGGAAGGUGAAAGUAAGAGGAACAGGAGUUUUAUUUAUGUUAAGUAACAUAAAUAAAGCUGAUUUUUAUAAAAC